rnacentral:rRNA from 1 species
GACGAACGCUGGCGGCGUGCUUAACACAUGCAAGUCGAACGAUGAAGAAAAGCAUCGAAGCUUCGGCAGAAAUUCAUUUCGGAUUAGUGGCAGACGGGUGAGUAACGCGUGAGCAACCUACCUCUUACAAAGGGAUAGCCUCGGGAAACCGGGAUUAAUACCAUAUAACAUUGCGACGAAGCAUUUCGAUGCAAUCAAAGCUACGGCGGUAAGAGAUGGGCUCGCGUCCCAUUGCCCGGGUGGUGAGGUAACGGCACACCAUAGUGACGAUGGGUAACCGGAGUGGGAGGGUGAACGGUCACGGUGGAGAUGAGACGCGGUCCAGACUCCUAGGGGAGGCGGCAGUGGGGAAUAUUGCACAAGGGAGGGAACUCUGAUGCAGCGACGCCGCGUGAGUGAUGAAGGGAGUCGUAACGUAAAACUCUGGUCUAUGGGAAGAAAAGGACUGUACCAUAGGAGAAAGCUCCGGCUAAAUACGUG